rnacentral:rRNA from 1 species
GACGAACGCUGGCGGCGUGCUUAACACAUGCAAGUCGUACGGAAAGGCCCUGCUUUUGUGGGGUGCUCGAGUGGCGAACGGGUGAGUAACACGUGAGUAACCUGCCCUUGACUUUGGGAUAACUUCAGGAAACUGGGGCUAAUACCGGAUAGGAGCUCCUGCUGCAUGGUGGGGGUUGGAAAGUUUCGGCGGUUGGGGAUGGACUCGCGGCCUAUCAGCUUGUUGGUGGGGUAGUGGCUUACCAAGGCUUUGACGGGUAGCCGGCCUGAGAGGGUGACCGGCCACAUUGGGACUGAGAUACGGCCCAGACUCCUACGGGAGGCAGCAGUGGGGAAUAUUGCACAAUGGGCGGAAGCCUGAUGCAGCAACGCCGCGUGCGGGAUGACGGCCUUCGGGUUGUAAACCGCUUUCGCCUGUGACGAAGCGUGAGUGACGGUAAUGGGUAAAGAAGCACCGGCUAACUACGUGCCGGCAGCCGCGGUGAUACGUAGGGUGCGAGCGUUGUCCGGAUUUAUUGGGCGUAAAGGGCUCGUAGGUGGUUGAUCGCGUCGGAAGUGUAAUCUUGGGGCUUAACCCUGAGCGUGCCUUCGAUACGGGUUGACUUGAGGAAGGUAGGGGAGAAUGGAAUUCCUGGUGGAGCGGUGGAAUGCGCAGAUAUCAGGAGGAACACCAGUGGCGAAGGCGGUUCUCUGGGCCUUUCCUGACGCUGAGGAGCGAAAGCGUGGGGAGCGAACAGGCUUAGAUACCCUGGUAGUCCACGCUGUAAACGGUGGGUACUAGGUGUGGGGUCCAUUCCACGGGUUCCGUGCCGUAGCUAACGCUUUAAGUACCCCGCCUGGGGAGUACGGCCGCAAGGCUAAAACUCAAAGGAAUUGACGGGGCCCCGCACAAGCGGCGGAGCAUGCGGAUUAAUUCGAUGCAACGCGUAGAACCUUACCUGGGUUUGACAUGGAUCGGGAGUGCUCAGAGAUGGGUGUGCCUCUUUUGGGGUCGGUUCACAGGUGGUGCAUGGCUGUCGUCAGCUCGUGUCGUGAGAUGUUGGGUUAAGUCCCGCAACGAGCGCAACCCUUGUUCACUGUUGCCAGCACGUUAUGGUGGGGACUCAGUGGAGACCGCCGGGGUCAACUCGGAGGAAGGUGGGGAUGACGUCAAGUCAUCAUGCCCCUUAUGUCCAGGGCUUCACGCAUGCUACAAUGGCUGGUACAGAGAGUGGCGAGCCUGUGAGGGUGAGCGAAUCUCGGAAAGCCGGUCUCAGUUCGGAUUGGGGUCUGCAACUCGACCUCAUGAAGUCGGAGUCGCUAGUAAUCGCAGAUCAGCAACGCUGCGGUGAAUACGUUCCCGGGGCU